rnacentral:tRNA from 1 species
UGGGUUGUGGCUCAGAGGUAGAGCACUCACCCAGCACGUGCAAGGCCCUGGGUUCGAUUCUCAGCACCACAU